GCGAUCAGAUACCAGCGCGAGAGAGGUAAUGUAUAGAAUAACGCACCCGCCAUCUUGACCUACCCAUACCAUUAUGGAGCCGUCUGUGGCACUCAUGUUUCCUCCAUCAGUUUACAACUAUGUGACAGAGAUGCUGCAUAAGGAUAUGAUUCUGGUUUUGAAUAAAAUUGACUUAACACCAGCUCCACUGGUUAUCGCGUGGAAGCACUACUUCCAACAGAAGUACCCUGCUAUUCAUAUUCUCACCUUCACUUCAUUCCUGCUUACAACCUGAGAGGCAAUCAAGAGAACAAGGCUGGUUUACAAAUUCGUCGUAGAUGAGGGAAGCUUUGAAUGGCAGCUGAAGGAGCAAAGACACUACUUGAGGCUUGCAAGUGUAUCAUCAAUAAUAAAGGUUCCUAUUGUAUUUAAUUAAAAUUAGUUUAAUAAACACAAUCAUGGAAUCUGUUUUUUUUUCCCCCCCAUGUUCAUGGACUAGCCAUAGUUGGGUACAUUUUUCUCUUCUGAAGUAAAUAAACUAAUGGUUCUUCAUCUUCCAUCUUUAACUUGAUAUUUUAUUUUUUCAUAUAUUACAUUAUUUCAACAGAUUUGUUUGUUUCACUUAUAAUUUUGUGUAUGUAUAUUGGCUUUCUUUGAUGCAUUCAUUCACCCGUCAGUCCAUACAUACGUGGGUUACUUCAAAAGUCGUGGCAACAUAAUUUUUCCGAAUUUCGAAACCUCCGACUGGAAUUUCCAAAUUUGCCGCUGAGAGACAGCAACGUCUGAUUUCUAAUGAUGCCGCUAGAAGAUGCGGAAGUCCAAGGACAACGAAGCGAGUCCAGCGCGAAGUCAGUGUGGUCAUAACCUUCGUUGAGGAUGAAGGUUAGCCAGCUGGAACAGCGUUGCUACGUGAAAAUAGCAGUGCUUCGUGGCAGACAUGCAACUGAAUGUCACUCAUAGCUUGUGGAAGCUCUGGGUGAUCGUGCUCUACCAUACAGAACUGUUGCAAGGUGGAUAGAAGCAUUCCAACAUGGAAGAGAAGCAAGUGCCGAUGUUUCUUGUGCUGUGAUCGCCCAAUGUCUGGAGGAAGAUAGGCGCUGGUCUCUGAAGGAGUUAGAGAACAUACAGGGAUUGACCAGGCAACUGUGCAUCUAAUUUUACAAAACUCACAUUGAAUUUGUUAUUGCUUAAUCACAAUUCAAUUUUUUGAGGAUUAAAGAAUGAAAAAAAACAGUCAUUCUGUAAUGUGCAAUUUUUCUUGCCUAGUAUACCUACGCCUCUUUACAUCUACCUGAUCUGACUAAGCCAAUUGGAGGGGUAUAUCAUGCCCUUUAAUAAGCAUAUUUUGAACUUUCUUCACUGUAACGUGUUUGCCCCCCCCAAAAAAAAUAGUUGCCAUGACUUUUGAAGUAAGUAAUGAAAGUUUGUCUUGUUGCAAACUUUCUUGAUUAUGCCGUGUGGUACUGAUUUUCUCUGUUAUUAAUGUGUUCCAGAUUACAGCAAUGUACAUUUUCUUAUUCCAGGUUGUGAGUGUUUCUAGGACCCCAGGGCACAUGAAACAUUUCCAGACCAUCUACCUAACUCAUAAUGUAAGACUGUGUGACUGUCCAGGUCUUGUGUUUCCUUCCAAAGUCCCAAAGACAUUACAGAUACAGCUGUAUGCAUUUAAAAAUUAUUUUAAGAAGUUUUGGUAAGAAUUUAUGAUGCCUGCUUUCCUUCAAAUGAUUCAGCCAAUGUGGUAAUGGUAGCAAGAAAAAUAAAUAAGUUGAAGUUUUGUGUGUUGGUGAUUUCUUUUUCUACUAUAAAUGCCUCU